rnacentral:SRP_RNA from 1 species
GCCGGGCGUGGUGGUGCAGGCCUGUCAUCCCAGCUUCUCAGGAGGCUGAGGCAGGAGGAUCACUUGAGCCCAGAAGUUGGAGGCUGCAGUGAGCUGUGAUUGUGCCACUGCACUCCAGUCUGGGCAACAGAGUGAGACCCUAUCUCAA